UACGUAGGGUGCGAGCGUUACUCGGAAUUACUGGGCGUAAAGCGUGCGCAGGCGGUUUCGUAAGCCAGAUGUGAAAGCCCCGGGCUCAACCUGGGAAUGGCAUUUGGGACUGCAAGGCUGGAGUUUGGCAGAGGAGACUGGAAUUCCUGGUGUAGCAGUGAAAUGCGUAGAUAUCAGGAGGAAUACCGAUGGCGAAGGCAGGUCUCUGGGCUAUAACUGACGCUCAUGCACGAAAGCGUGGGGAGCAAACAGG
rnacentral:rRNA from 1 species